AUGGCGCACGCCGCCCAUCCAGAAGACAUAAUUGCGGAGUUGACUUCCAAGGUUGAAAGAAUAUUUCACGAAGUAGGCACUCCGCUUCCUUUAGAGGAAGGUGAAUCUGCGCGAUCGUUCACUCAAAAUCAUGUAUUGUGGAAUAGUGAGGGAGGAGAUACUCUUCAAAAAAUCUUCUCUGAUUAUACGGAAGCCGGGGACGCAAGUGAAUUCAUCGCAAUAGCCACCAAUCUGGCGAAGUGGUUUCGCCGCGCCGAGCUCGGUGAACCGGAUUCUCCUGACCCCGAUGCGCCUUUGGAAGAGCAGGAGGAUCAUUCCACGGGAUCCCCUGAAAGCACAAAAGCAAAUGAUGGGGCGAACAAGGCAGGCCCGUCUUCUUCGCAGAAGCAUAAAAGGUGGGAUGAUGAUUCGGGGUCCGAAGAUGAUGAUUCAGGGGGCCCCGGGGAAUCUCCAGAUCCAGUGGAAAUCAUUUACAGAGGGGAUGCACAAGGGUACAACUGGGAGGGGAAUUAG
rnacentral:rRNA from 1 species